AAAAAGGGUUUACCAAUGAGACACAUGUUGCCUCCUUCAUGGAAACCCUAGGAGAAGAAACGGACAGAUUCCCCUUCCCUGCCUCCGCCCCAGCCCAGCCCCAGCGGUCCGUCUCACUCGGUUGUUGCUGUAAUGCUGGUCUCCUGUCUGUGUGCGGCACUGCAGAUGUGGCGGGCAGGGGCGUGGGAGCUCUGGGGCAGGCGCUGAAGGCAGGAGAAGGGCCAGAGAAUGUCGUCCCAGCCAGCAGGGAACCAGACCUCCCCCGGGGCCACAGAGGACUACUCCUAUGGCAGCUGGUACAUCGAUGAGCCCCAGGGGGGUGAGGAGCUCCAGCCAGAGGGGGGGGCCUGACGCAGGCCUGAGCCAGCCUUCAUUUGCUCUGCAGGGAAGUGCCCUCCUGCCACACCAGCGUACCACCCGGCCUGUACCACGCCUGCCUGGCCUCGCUGUCAAUCCUCGUGCUGCUGCUCCUGGCCGUGCUGGUGAGGCGCCGCCAGCUCUGGCCUGACUGUGUGCGUGGCAGGCCCGGCCUGCCCAGCCCUGUGGAUUUCUUGGCUGAGGACAGGCCCCGGGCAGUGCCUGCUGCUGUUUUCAUGGUCCUCUUGAGCUCCCUGUGUUUGCUGCUCCCCGACGAGGAUCCAUUGCCCUUCCUGACUCUCGCCUCAGCACCCAGCCAAGAUGGGAAAACUGAGGCUCCAAGAGGGGCCUGGAAGAUACUGGGACUGUUCUAUUAUGCUGCCCUCUACUACCCUCUGGCUGCCUGUGCCACGGCUGGCCACACAACUGCACACCUGCUCGGCAGCACGCUGUCCUGGGCCCACCUUGGGGUCCAGGUCUGGCAGAGGGCAGAGUGUCCCCAGGUGCCCAAGAUCUACAAGUACUACUCCCUGCUGGCCUCCCUGCCUCUCCUGCUGGGCCUCGGAUUCCUGAGCCUUUGGUACCCUGUGCAGCUGGUGAGAAGCUUCAGCUGUAGGACAGGAGCAGGCUCCAAGGGGCUGCAGAGCAGCUACUCUGAGGAAUAUCUGAGGAACCUCCUUUGCAGGAAGAAGCUGGGAAGCAGCUACCACACCUCCAAGCAUGGCUUCCUGUCCUGGGCCCGCGUCUGCUUGAGACACUGCAUCUACACUCCACAGCCAGGAUUCCGUCUCCCGCUGAAGCUGGUGCUUUCAGCUACACUGACAGGGACGGCCAUUUACCAGGUGGCCCUGCUGCUGCUGGUGGGCGUGGUACCCACCAUCCAGAAGGUGAGGGCAGGGGUCACCACGGAUGUCUCCUACCUGCUGGCCGGCUUUGGAAUCGUGCUCUCCGAGGACAAGCAGGAGGUGGUGGAGCUGGUGAAGCACCAUCUGUGGGCUCUGGAAGUGUGCUACAUCUCAGCCUUGGUCUUGUCCUGCUUACUCACCUUCCUGGUCCUGAUGCGCUCACUGGUGACACACAGGACCAACCUUCGAGCUCUGCACCGAGGAGCUGCCCUGGACUUGAGUCCCUUGCAUCGGAGUCCCCAUCCCUCCCGCCAAGCCAUAUUCUGUUGGAUGAGCUUCAGUGCCUACCAGACAGCCUUUAUCUGCCUUGGGCUCCUGGUGCAGCAGAUCAUCUUCUUCCUGGGAACCACGGCCCUGGCCUUCCUGGUGCUCAUGCCUGUGCUUCAUGGCAGGAACCUCCUGCUCUUCCGUUCCCUGGAGUCCUCGUGGUGAGUGAAACAAGACAUGGAGGGCUCAGGGACUCCUUAGAGGUCCGCUAACAGCGACCACCUCCCCACCCCACUGGCAGGCCCUUCUGGCUGACUUUGGCCCUGGCUGUGAUCCUGCAGAACAUGGCAGCCCAUUGGGUCUUCCUGGAGACUCAUGAUGGACACCCACAGCUGACCAACCGGCGAGUGCUCUAUGCAGCCACCUUUCUUCUCUUCCCCCUCAAUGUGCUGGUGGGUGCCAUGGUGGCCACCUGGCGAGUGCUCCUCUCUGCCCUCUACAACGCCAUCCACCUUGGCCAGAUGGACCUCAGCCUGCUGCCACCGAGAGCCGCCACUCUCGACCCCGGCUACUACAUGUACCGAAACUUCUUGAAGAUUGAAGUCAGCCAGUCGCAUCCAGCCAUGACAGCCUUCUGCUCCCUGCUCCUGCAAGCGCAGAGCCUCCUACCCAGGACCAUGGCAGCCCCCCAGGACAGCCUCAGACCAGGGGAGGAAGACGAAGGGAUGCAGCUGCUACAGACAAAGGACUCCAUGGCCAAGGGAGCUAGGCCCAGGGCCAGCCGCGGCAGGGCUCGCUGGGGUCUGGCCUACACGCUGCUGCACAACCCAACCCUGCAGGUCUUCCGCAAGACGGCCCUGUUGGGUGCCAAUGGUGCCCAGCCCUGAGGGCAGGGAAGGUCAACCCACCUGCCCAUCUGUGCUGAGGCAUGUUCCUGCCUACCAUCCUCCUCCCUCCCCGGCUCUCCUCCCAGCAUCAUGCCAGCCAUGCAGCCAGCAGGUCCUCCGGAUCACCGUGGUUGGGUGGAGGUCUGUCUGCACUGGGAGCCUCAGGAGGGCUCUGCUCCACCCACUUGGCUAUGGGAGAGCCAGCAGGGGUUCUGGAGAAAGAAACUGGUGGGUUAGGGCCUUGGUCCAGGAGCCAGUCGAGCCAGGGCAGCCACAUCCAGGCGUCUCCCUGCCCUGGCUCUGCCAUCAGCCUUGAAGGGCCUCGAUGAAGCCUUCUCUGGAACCACUCCAGCCCAGCUCCACCUCGGCCUUGGCCUUCACGCUGUGGAAGCAGCCAAGGCACUUCCUCACCCCCUCAGCGCCACGGACCUCUCUGCGGAGUGGCUGGAAAGCUCCCGGGCCUCUGGCCUGCAGGGCAGCCCAAGUCAUGACUCAGACCAGGUCCCACACUGAGCUGCCCACACUCGAGAGCCAGAUAUUUUUGUAGUUUUUAUGCCUUUGGCUAUUAUGAAAGAGGUUAGUGUGUUCCCUGCAAUAAACUUGUUCCUGAG
rnacentral:sRNA from 1 species